CUGACGUUAGUCGGAGCCUAAUACAUGCAGUCGAACGAGAUAGUAGCAAUACUAUGAAAGUGGCGCACGGGUGCGUAACACGUAUGCAAUCUACCUUUAAUUGGAGGAUAGCCUCGAGAAAUCGGGAUUAAUACUCCAUAACAUUAUGAAAUGGCAUCAUUUUAUAAUUAAACCUCCGGGGAUUAAAGAUGAGCAUGCGCAACAUUAGCUAGUUGGUAAGGUAACGGCUUACCAAGGCUACGAUGUUUAGGGGGUCUGAGAGGAUGAUCCCCCACACUGGUACUGAGACACGGACCAGACUCCUACGGGAGGCAGCAGUAGGGAAUAUUGGGCAAUGGAGGAAACUCUGACCCAGCCAUGCCGCGUGCAGGAUGACGGCCCUCUGGGUUGUAAACUGCUUUUAUACGGGAAGAAAAAAUGCUACGUGUAGCACAUUGACGGUACCGUAAGAAUAAGGAUCGGCUAACUCCGUGCCAGCAGCCGCGGUAAUACGGAGGAUCCAAGCGUUGUCCGGAUUUAUUGGGUUUAAAGGGUGCGUAGGCGGAUCUUUAAGUCAGUGGUGAGAGCCUGCAGCUCAACUGUAGAACAGCCAUUGAAACUGAAGAUCUUGAAUAUGGUUAAAGUAGGCGGAAUGUAUCAUGUAGCGGUGAAAUGCUUAGAUAUGAUACAGAACACCGAUAGCGAAGGCAGCUUGCUGAACCAUUAUUGACGCUGAGGCACGAAAGCGUGGGGAGCAAACAGGAUUAGAUACCCUGGUAGUCCACGCCCUAAACGUUGAAUACUCGGUGUUGGCGAUAUACUGUCGGCGACUAAGCUAAAGCGUUAGUAAUCCACCUGUGAAGUACGACCGCAGGU
rnacentral:rRNA from 1 species